rnacentral:misc_RNA from 1 species
GAUGAAGAACGCAGCGAAAUGCGAUAAGUAAUGUGAAUUGCAGAAUUCAGUGAAUCAUCGAAUCUUUGAACGCAUCUUGCGCUCCUUGGUAUUCCGAGGAGCAUGCCUGUUUGAGUGUCAUUUCACCACUCAAGCCUGGCUUGGUGUUGGGCGACGUCCCCUUUGGGGACGCGCCUCGAAACGCUCGGCGGCGUGGCACCGGCUUUAAGCGUAGCAGAAUCUUUCGCUUUGGAAGUCGGGGCCCCGUCUGCCGGAAGACCUACUCGCAAGGUUGACCUCGGAUCAGGCAGGGAUACCCGCUGAACUUAAGCAUAUCAAUAAGCGGAGGA